rnacentral:rRNA from 1 species
GACGAACGCUGGCGGCGUGCUUAACACAUGCAAGUCGAACGGAAAGGCCCUGCUUUUGUGGGGUGCUCGAGUGGCGAACGGGUGAGUAACACGUGAGUAACCUGCCCUUGACUUUGGGAUAACUUCAGGAAACUGGGGCUAAUACCGGAUAGGAGCUCCUGCUGCAUGGUGGGGGUUGGAAAGUUUCGGCGGUUGGGGAUGGACUCGCGGCUUAUCAGCUUGUUGGUGGGGUAGUGGCUUACCAAGGCUUUGACGGGUAGCCGGCCUGAGAGGGUGACCGGCCACAUUGGGACUGAGGUACGGCCCAGACUCCUACGGGAGGCAGCAGUGGGGAAUAUUGCACAAUGGGCGGAAGCCUGAUGCAGCAACGCCGCGUGCGGGAUGACGGCCUGCGGGUUGUAAACCGCUUUCGCCUGUGACGAAGCGUGAGUGACGGUAAUGGGUAAAGAAGCACCGGCUAACUACGUG